rnacentral:siRNA from 1 species
UGUGAAUCUUGAUGAUGCCAC